rnacentral:rRNA from 1 species
UGGGGAAUAUUGCGCAAUGGGCGAAAGCCUGACGCAGCGACGCCGCGUGGGGGAUGAAGGUCUUCGGAUUGUAAACCCCUUUCGGGAGGGAAGAUGGAAUGGGGUAACCCAUUCGGACGGUACCUCCAGAAGCAGCCACGGCUAACUUCGUGCCAGCAGCCGCGGUAAUACGAAGGUGGCAAGCGUUAUUCGGAUUUACUGGGCGUACAGGGAGCGUAGGCGGUUCGGUAAGCCCUCUGUGAAAUCUUCAGGCUUAACCUGGAAAAGUCGGAGGGGACUGCUGGGCUAGAGGACGGGAGAGGAGCGCGGAAUUCCCGGUGUAGCGGUGAAAUGCGUAGAGAUCGGGAGGAAGGCCGGUGGCGAAGGCGGCGCUCUGGAACGUUUCUGACGCUGAGGCUCGAAAGCGUGGGGAGCAAACAGGAUUAGAUACCCUCGUAGUCCCUGAGCGGGCUGGCAAGGCGCAU